GAAUCCAUCCCUACUAUUGACCGUAUUCACUUUCCCAUCUCCCGCCCAAGAUGACCAAAAUUCCCCUCCAACCUUUUCCUCUCGGCUGCUCACCACCGCAGACAAGUCCAGUCCUCUCCCUCCCCUCAACCUAGCACCGCCACUUGCGCCCACCACGCCGCCGCACCGCCGCUGGUGAACGAAUCCGUCCAUCCCGUACACCAGCCAUGUCCUGACACACUGACACACACCUGGUGGAGGAGGAGGCGCUACCUCCGUCCGCCGGCGGUGCAGGGGAGGAGCCGGCCAUCCUCAGGGCGGCGUUGGGCUCCGGCAAGCUGCGCAUCGAGGGGUCGCUGAGCUUCAAGCGGGCGCAGACCGCACUGCAGGUGGAGACCGAGAUCUCCAUCCGGACCGCUGCCAUGCCCGCGCCGGGACCGGGACCCCUACCCAGGGGAACCCCCGAGAGGAACACACAACAACGUCUCACCAGUCAGCCACCACCGUGCUCCAUUUCCUUUCUCUCUCUCGGCUCCUCCGCUCUCUUGCCCGAGUCGCUAGCUUCCCUGCCCCGCCUCCUCCCAUCCCCGUGGACAGACAACCCCCCACCUCCGCUUCCAUAGCAUCCGAGCUAAGGUCAACUCCUCCAUCGGCGGAGCGAGAGCGGGGAAGAGACGGGAGGGUCCCGAAUCCGAGCCGAGCUGCGCUCCCCGCGCGACCGACACUCAGGUCUUGUCGUCCCAUGCAGAUCUGCUCUUCCUCCUGAGGCCAUCCAUGAAUCCGUGGCACACAGGAAGUUAAGAUUAAUCUAGACAUGAUAAUCUACAGGCUUAUGAGGGCUUACAUAAGUUCAUCUUCUCUACGGAAAUCUGCAUUGAGGGCUCUUGCAAAGGCACUGACGACAGAUCAACUCUUCAACCUAAGAGAGCAGUUUACAUUAUUCGGUCCAAACAAGAGUGGCCAUAUAUCAUUGCAAAAUAUGAAGACGGCCUUGAUGAAAAAUUCCUCGGGUGCAAUGAAUGAUUCUAGGAUUCUUGACUUUGUUAACUCAAUAUGCAAUAUCCAAUAUGGCAUGAUUGAUUUUGAAGAGUUCUCUGCUACGGCCAUUAGUGUAUAUCAAAUGGAAGGCCUGGAGACCUGGGAAGAACAUGCUCAACAAGCAUAUGAAUUGUUUGACAAGGAGGGCAACCGACCAAUUGUGAUUGAAGAACUUGCAUCGGAACUUGGACUUGGCCCUUCGAUCUCAUUUCAUGUUGUUCUCAAAGAUUGGAUCAGACAUUCAGAUGGACACCCAGGAAGUUGAGUUGCCCCUUGACCAGGAGGAAUCCACCUACCGUCUGGACGAAAAACGAUCCCAUCCAUGGGGCAGCGCCAGGUGUACCGAAUCUUUGGCACAGCGAUCAGGGAUCUAUUUCGCAAAUGAACGGAAAGAUAGCACAAUUCUUUUUCUUUUUGUGCUAGUGCCAGUAUUGUGGAACGAAUUUAUAAGGUUUGUGGGUUGGGCUGCUAACAUUUAUGUUCGAAUUUGGACGCCUCUCUCUCUCUCAGGUUGGAAAGGGGUUGCUGAAGGACGAGAAUGCUCAGAAGCUUGCGUUGCAGCACUGGCUGGAAGCGAUUGACCCGCGGCACCGGUACGGCCACAACCUUCACUGCUACUACGACUGCUGGCUCCACUCCGAAAGCAAGCAACCUUUCUUCUACUGCUAAUUCUGAGAUUGGCCAUCUGAUUUCUGAGAUGAGCUCCCAUGUUCAUAAUAUUUGCGCUGUGCUAAAUGAGGCCGCACUUGAAGAAAUCUUAUAUCAGUUUGAGGAAAAACUCCAAGCUGAAAGAGAGGAAGCUGCUAGGAAGCAGGAAGAGUUGCAAGCACAACUACAAGCUCAACAGGCCGCACUUGAAGAAAACCAAAGUUUGCUGCGCCAGGCCCAAGAGGAAGUGAAGGGGAUGCAUACCAAGUUUGAAGAGACCAAUGCACUGCUACGAGCUGUCCUGAAACUUCAGAAAGAUUGAGGUAGGGAUGCAUACCAAGUCUGGGGAUGAUGCCUUUGCUUAAGGUUUUUCUACCUUGCUAGAACAUAUCUGUGGUUAGAACUUUGUCAGAACUACGUGCAAUCUGUUUGAAUGCUUCAAACCUUUGUGGUGGAACCUUUGUAUGUUUGAACCUCUGUUGUGGAAGAACUAGUGUGCUGGAAUUGUGUAUGACUUGUGAUGAGAAUGUUGUGUAUGAUGGCUUUUCUGUGUAUUAUGAUUCUGUGAGCUGUCA